GGUUAAGCGACUAAGCGUACACGGUGGAUGCCCUGGCAGUCAGAGGCGAUGAAGGACGUGCUAAUCUGCGAUAAGCGUCGGUAAGGUGAUAUGAACCGUUAUAACCGGCGAUUUCCGAAUGGGGAAACCCAGUGUGAUUCGUCACACUAUCAUUAACUGAAUCCAUAGGUUAAUGAGGCGAACCGGGGGAACUGAAACAUCUAAGUACCCCGAGGAAAAGAAAUCAACCGAGAUUCCCCCAGUAGCGGCGAGCGAACGGGGAGCAGCCCAGAGCCUGAAUCAGUGUGUGUGUUAGUGGAAGCGUCUGGAAAGGCGCGCGAUACAGGGUGACAGCCCCGUACACAAAAAUGCACAUGCUGUGAGCUCGAUGAGUAGGGCGGGACACGUGGUAUCCUGUCUGAAUAUGGGGGGACCAUCCUCCAAGGCUAAAUACUCCUGACUGACCGAUAGUGAACCAGUACCGUGAGGGAAAGGCGAAAAGAACCCCGGCGAGGGGAGUGAAAAAGAACCUGAAACCGUGUACGUACAAGCAGUGGGAGCACAGAGCAAUCUGUGUGACUGCGUACCUUUUGUAUAAUGGGUCAGCGACUUAUAUUCUGUAGCAAGGUUAACCGAAUAGGGGAGCCGAAGGGAAACCGAGUCUUAACUGGGCGUUAAGUUGCAGGGUAUAGACCCGAAACCCGGUGAUCUAGCCAUGGGCAGGUUGAAGGUUGGGUAACACUAACUGGAGGACCGAACCGACUAAUGUUGAAAAAUUAGCGGAUGACUUGUGGCUGGGGGUGAAAGGCCAAUCAAACCGGGAGAUAGCUGGUUCUCCCCGAAAGCUAUUUAGGUAGCGCCUCGUGAAUUCAUCUCCGGGGGUAGAGCACUGUUUCGGCAAGGGGGUCAUCCCGACUUACCAACCCGAUGCAAACUGCGAAUACCGGAGAAUGUUAUCACGGGAGACACACGGCGGGUGCUAACGUCCGUCGUGAAGAGGGAAACAACCCAGACCGCCAGCUAAGGUCCCAAAGUCAUGGUUAAGUGGGAAACGAUGUGGGAAGGCCCAGACAGCCAGGAUGUUGGCUUAGAAGCAGCCAUCAUUUAAAGAAAGCGUAAUAGCUCACUGGUCGAGUCGGCCUGCGCGGAAGAUGUAACGGGGCUAAACCAUGCACCGAAGCUGCGGCAGCGACGCUUAUGCGUUGUUGGGUAGGGGAGCGUUCUGUAAGCCUGCGAAGGUGUGCUGUGAGGCAUGCUGGAGGUAUCAGAAGUGCGAAUGCUGACAUAAGUAACGAUAAAGCGGGUGAAAAGCCCGCUCGCCGGAAGACCAAGGGUUCCUGUCCAACGUUAAUCGGGGCAGGGUGAGUCGACCCCUAAGGCGAGGCCGAAAGGCGUAGUCGAUGGGAAACAGGUUAAUAUUCCUGUACUUGGUGUUACUGCGAAGGGGGGACGGAGAAGGCUAUGUUGGCCGGGCGACGGUUGUCCCGGUUUAAGCGUGUAGGCUGGUUUUCCAGGCAAAUCCGGAAAAUCAAGGCUGAGGCGUGAUGACGAGGCACUACGGUGCUGAAGCAACAAAUGCCCUGCUUCCAGGAAAAGCCUCUAAGCAUCAGGUAACAUCAAAUCGUACCCCAAACCGACACAGGUGGUCAGGUAGAGAAUACCAAGGCGCUUGAGAGAACUCGGGUGAAGGAACUAGGCAAAAUGGUGCCGUAACUUCGGGAGAAGGCACGCUGAUAUGUAGGUGAAGUCCCUCGCGGAUGGAGCUGAAAUCAGUCGAAGAUACCAGCUGGCUGCAACUGUUUAUUAAAAACACAGCACUGUGCAAACACGAAAGUGGACGUAUACGGUGUGACGCCUGCCCGGUGCCGGAAGGUUAAUUGAUGGGGUCAGCGCAAGCGAAGCUCUUGAUCGAAGCCCCGGUAAACGGCGGCCGUAACUAUAACGGUCCUAAGGUAGCGAAAUUCCUUGUCGGGUAAGUUCCGACCUGCACGAAUGGCGUAAUGAUGGCCAGGCUGUCUCCACCCGAGACUCAGUGAAAUUGAACUCGCUGUGAAGAUGCAGUGUACCCGCGGCAAGACGGAAAGACCCCGUGAACCUUUACUAUAGCUUGACACUGAACAUUGAGCCUUGAUGUGUAGGAUAGGUGGGAGGCUUUGAAGUGUGGACGCCAGUCUGCAUGGAGCCGGCCUUGAAAUACCACCCUUUAAUGUUUGAUGUUCUAACGUUGACCCGUAAUCCGGGUUGCGGACAGUGUCUGGUGGGUAGUUUGACUGGGGCGGUCUCCUCCUAAAGAGUAACGGAGGAGCACGAAGGUUGGCUAAUCCUGGUCGGACAUCAGGAGGUUAGUGCAAUGGCAUAAGCCAGCUUGACUGCGAGCGUGACGGCGCGAGCAGGUGCGAAAGCAGGUCAUAGUGAUCCGGUGGUUCUGAAUGGAAGGGCCAUCGCUCAACGGAUAAAAGGUACUCCGGGGAUAACAGGCUGAUACCGCCCAAGAGUUCAUAUCGACGGCGGUGUUUGGCACCUCGAUGUCGGCUCAUCACAUCCUGGGGCUGAAGUAGGUCCCAAGGGUAUGGCUGUUCGCCAUUUAAAGUGGUACGCGAGCUGGGUUUAGAACGUCGUGAGACAGUUCGGUCCCUAUCUGCCGUGGGCGCUGGAGAACUGAGGGGGGCUGCUCCUAGUACGAGAGGACCGGAGUGGACGCAUCACUGGUGUUCGGGUUGUCAUGCCAAUGGCACUGCCCGGUAGCUAAAUGCGGAAGAGAUAAGUGCUGAAAGCAUCUAAGCACGAAACUUGCCCCGAGAUGAGUUCUCCCUGACUCCUUGAGAGUCCUGAAGGAACGUUGAAGACGACGACGUUGAUAGGCCGGGUGUGUAAGCGCAGCGAUGCGUUGAGCUAACCGGUACUAAUGAACCGUGAGGCUUAACCUU
rnacentral:rRNA from 1 species